rnacentral:rRNA from 1 species
CGAACGCUGGCGGCACGCCUAACACAUGCAAGUCGAGCGCGAAAGGCACUUCGGUGCCGAGUAGAGCGGCGCACGGGUGAGUAACGCGUGGCCAACCCGCCCCCGGGACCGGGACAACCCCCCGAAAGGGGGGCUAAUACCGGAUGACACCCAGGCCGCAGGGCCGGGGUUGAAAGCUCCGGCGCCCGGGGAGGGGGCCGCGUCCCAUCAGCUGGCCGGUGAGGUGAAGGCUCACCGGGGCGACGACGGGUAGCGGGUCUGAGAGGACGGUCCGCCACACUGGCACUGAGACACGGGCCAGACUCCUGCGGGAGGCAGCAGUGGGGAAUCUUGCGCAAUGGGCGCAAGCCUGACGCAGCGAUGCCGCGUGGGUGAAGAAGGCCCUCGGGUCGUAAAGCCCUUUUGGCGGGGAGGAUGAUGACGUCACCCGCCGAAUAAGCGCCGGCUAACUACGUGCCAGCAGCCGCGGUAACACGUAGGGCGCGAGCGUUGUCCGGAAUCACUGGGCGUAAAGGGCGCGCAGGUGGGUCCGCAAGCGGGGGGUGAAAGGCCGGGGCUCAACCCCGGGACUGCUCACCGAACUGCGGGCCUCGAGGGGGUCAGGGGCCAGCGGAAUUCCGGGUGGAGAGGUGAAAUUCGUAGAGAUCCGGAGGAACGCCGGCGGCGAAAGCGGCUGGCUGGGGCCGCCCUGACACUGAGGCGCGAGAGCGUGGGGAGCGAACAGGAUUAGAUACCCUGGUAGUCCACGCCGUAAACGAUGGGCACCGGGCGUCCGGGGGGCCGACCCCCCUGGGCGCCGCAGCAAACGCGAUGAGUGCCCCGCCUGGGGAAGUACNGC